rnacentral:misc_RNA from 1 species
UGGCUCUCGCAUCGAUGAAGAACGCAGCGAAAUGCGAUAAGUAAUGUGAAUUGCAGAAUUCAGUGAAUCAUCGAAUCUUUGAACGCAUCUUGCGCCCUUUGGUAUUCCGAAGGGCAUGCCUGUUUGAGUGUCAUUAAAUUAUCAACCAUCAACUGAUUGACUUUGGUUUUUGGCUUGGAUGUGGGAGUUUGCCGGCUUUAACAAGUCAGCUCUCCUUAAAUAGAUUAGCGGUGUUACAUGGUCAGCUAUUUGGUGUGAUAUCUAUCUACUCCAAGUGUGAUCGUAUCAAUACAGCUUCUAACCGUCCUAAUUGUUGGACAAUAUUAAUGACGAUUUUGACCUCAAAUCAGGUAGGACUACCCGCUGA